AGAAUGAACGCUGGCGGCAUGCCUAACACAUGCAAGUCGAACGAAGCCUUCGGGCUUAGUGGCGCACGGGUGCGUAACGCGUGGGAAUCUGCCCUUGGGUUCGGAAUAACAGCGAGAAAUUGCUGCUAAUACCGGAUGAUGACGUAAGUCCAAAGAUUUAUCGCCCAAGGGAUGAGCCCGCGUAGGAUUAGCUAGUUGGUGAGGUAAAGGCUCACCAAGGCGACGAUCCUUAGCUGGUCUGAGAGGAUGAUCAGCCACACUGGGACUGAGACACGGCCCAGACUCCUACGGGAGGCAGCAGUGGGGAAUAUUGGACAAUGGGCGAAAGCCUGAUCCAGCAAUGCCGCGUGAGUGAUGAAGGCCUUAGGGUUGUAAAGCUCUUUUACCCGGGAUGAUAAUGACAGUACCGGGAGAAUAAGCCCGGCUAACUCCGUGCCAGCACGCCGC
rnacentral:rRNA from 1 species